rnacentral:rRNA from 1 species
AUACGUAGGUGACAAGCGUUAUCCGGAUUUACUGGGCGUAAAGGGCGUGUAGGCGGUCUUGCAAGUCAGAAGUGAAAUUCCUGAGCUCAACUCGGGCGCUGCUUCUGAAACUGCAGGACUUGAGUGCUGGAGGGGAUAGCGGAAUUCCUAGUGGAGCGGUAAAAUGCGCAGAUAUUAGGAGGAACACCGGUGGCGAAGGCGGCUUACUGGACUGUAACUGACGUUGAGGCUCGAAAGCGUGGGGAGCAAACAGGAUUAGAUACCCCGGUAGUCCUGGCAGUAAACGAUGUAUGCUGGGUGUGAGACUAGCGAUAGUUUCGUGCCGAAGUUAACGCGAUAAGCAUACCGCCUGGGGAGUACGGUCGCAAGAUUGAAACUCAAAUGAAUUGGCGGGG